rnacentral:rRNA from 1 species
UACGUAGGGGGCAAGCGUUGUCCGGAUUUAUUGGGCGUAAAGAGCGUGUAGGCGGCCAGAUAGGUCCGUUGUGAAAACUGGAGGCUUAACCUCCAGCUGUCGAUGGAAACCAUCUGGCUAGAGUCCGGAAGAGGAGAGUGGAAUUCCUGGUGUAGCGGUGAAAUGCGCAGAUAUCAGGAAGAACACCCGUGGCGAAGGCGGCUCUCUGGGACGGUACUGACGCUGAGACGCGAAAGCGUGGGGAGCAAACAGG